UACGUAGGGUGCAAGCGUUGUCCGGAAUUAUUGGGCGUAAAGAGCUCGUAGGCGGUCUGUUGCGUCGGCUGUGAAAACCCGGGGCUCAACUCCGGGCCUGCAGCCGAUACGGGCAGACUAGAGUUCGGCAGGGGAGACUGGAAUUCCUGGUGUAGCGGUGAAAUGCGCAGAUAUCAGGAGGAACACCAGCGGCGAAGGCGGCGCUCUGGGCCGGUACUGACGCUGAGGAGCGAAAGCGUGGGGAGCAAACAGG
rnacentral:rRNA from 1 species